AUCCAGCUGACGAGUUCCAGAUAGGAUGAAACGCCCGUCCUGGAU
rnacentral:hammerhead_ribozyme from 1 species